GAUGAAGAACGUAGCGAAAUGCGAUACUUGGUGUGAGUUGCAGAAUCCCGUGAACCAUCGAGUCUUUGAACGCAAGUUGCGCCCGAAGCCAUUAGGCCGAGGGCACGCCUGCCUGGGCGUCACACGUCGUUGCCCCCCCAUCUACUCCUUCGGGAUUGCGGGGGGCGGAUGAUGGCCUCCCGUGCGCCUCGUCGCGCGGUUGGCAUAAAUGCCAAGUCCUCGGCGACGCACGCCACGACAAUCGGUGGUUGCGAAACCUCGGUUGCCCGUCGUGUGCGGUCGUCGCGCAUCGAGGGCUCGAAAAAAUUGUCGGGCUCCGGCUCGGCUUUCAACGCGACCCCAGGUCAGGCGGGGUUACCCGCUGAAUUUAAGCAUAUCAAUAAGCGGAGGA
rnacentral:misc_RNA from 1 species